rnacentral:rRNA from 1 species
UACGUAGGUGGCAAGCGUUGUCCGGAAUUAUUGGGCGUAAAGCGCGCGCAGGCGGUCCUUUAAGUCUGAUGUGAAAGCCCACGGCUCAACCGUGGAGGGUCAUUGGAAACUGGGGGACUUGAGUACAGAAGAGAAGAGUGGGAUUCCACGUGUAGCGGUGAAAUGCGUAGAGAUGUGGAGGAACACCAGUGGCGAAGGCGACUCUUUGGUCUGUAACUGACGCUGAGGCGCGAAAGCGUGGGGAGCAAACAGG